AACGAACGCUGGCGGCAGGCUUAACACAUGCAAGUCGAGCGCCCCGCAAGGGGAGCGGCAGACGGGUGAGUAACGCGUGGGAAUCUACCCAUCUCUACGGAAUAACGCAUGGAAACGUGUGCUAAUACCGUAUACGUCCUUCGGGAGAAAGACUUAUCGGAGAUGGAUGAGCCCGCGUUGGAUUAGCUAGUUGGUGGGGUAAAGGCCUACCAAGGCGACGAUCCAUAGCUGGUCUGAGAGGAUGAUCAGCCACACUGGGACUGAGACACGGCCCAGACUCCUACGGGAGGCAGCAGUGGGGAAUAUUGGACAAUAGGCGCAAGCCUGAUCCAGCCAUGCCGCGUGAGUGAUGAAGGCCCUAGGGUUGUAAAGCUCUUUCACCGGUGAAGAUAAUGACGGUAACCGGAGAAGGAGCCCCGGCUAACUUCGUGCCAGCCGCCGCGGUAAAAC
rnacentral:rRNA from 1 species